UGCCAGACUCCUACGGGAGGCAGCAGUGGGGAAUAUUGCACAAUGGGCGAAAGCCUGAUGCAGCGACGCCGCGUGAAGGAUGAAGUAUUUCGGUAUGUAAAGCUCUAUCAGCAGGGAAGAAGAUGACAGUACCUGAGUAAGAAGCCCCGGCUAACUACGUGCCAGCAGCCGCGGUAAUACGUAGGGGGCAAGCGUUAUCCGGAUUUACUGGGUGUAAAGGGAGCGUAGACGGUUGUAUAAGUCUGGAGUGAAAGCCCGGGGCCCAACCCCGGGACUGCUUUGGAAACUGUGUAACUUGAGUACAGGAGGGGCAGGCGGAAUUCCUGGUGUAGCGGUGAAAUGCGUAGAUAUCAGGAGGAACACCGGCGGCGAAGGCGGCCUGCUGGACUGAAACUGACGUUGAGGCUCGAAAGCGUGGGGAGCAAACAGGAUUAGAUACCCGUGUAA
rnacentral:rRNA from 1 species